rnacentral:lncRNA from 1 species
GUCCUUUCCUGACACAGAGGACCAAGAGCAAAUUUGUAUUUGCUGGCUCCUCCAAAUCUUCUGAUACCCUUUUCAAGUAAGUCUUCCUUCUCCUUUUUUUAGUGCUUCAUCGUAAAUACGAGUCAUGUUUUUUAGCCCAUAAGAAGUAAGUUAUUGGUUUUAUUAUCACCGCUAUAAGGUUAUAAAUCUGCUAUAAAGCUAGUUUUUUUGCUGCCAUGCUUGAUAUUGUGAAAACUAUGUCAAAUACCACUUAUUCCAACCAACAAGGUUUUAAAUUGCCUACAAAGUAGUUUUACGUUGCUAUUCUUGAUAUUGUGAAAAAUUGAUGUCUAACACCACUCAUGCCAAGGAGUUAAGUCAUAAUUCAAUCCCUGGUGGUAUUGCUAGAGUUUGAUCAAAUACAGUUGGUGUAGCCUCAACUAUAGUUGCGUUUUGGUUGCAGAGACCUAGAAAACCUCGACUUUGUAGUUCAGAUUCCAGUCCUAGAUGCGGCUGCAAUUAUAGUUGCUGAUAAAUUUUGGAUCCUUUGGGAACAUACCUUAUUAAUAUAUCAUUAUUGAUGUUGCUAUUUAGUAAGCUCUUAUUGAUAAAUAUUUGACUGGAACAGAUAUAUAGCUCCUGAGCAAGUGCCAGUUCAAUAUGGGGGACUUAGCAGAGAAGGCGAACAGGAAUUCACCACGGCUGACCCUGCUACAGAGGUUAUUAUCAAACCAGCAACAAAACAUGCUGUUGAGUUCCCAAUUUCUGAGGUGAGAAUAAAAACUUGUUUGAAUCAAACCAGCAACAAAACAUGCUGUUGAGUUCCCAAUUUCUGAGGUGAGAAUAAAAACUUGUUUGAUAAUCAAUCUUAUCAUAGUUUUAAAUUGCGGUUACGCUUACACUGUGAACCUUUAAAUUGUGGUUGUGAUGCUGUUGUGGAGACUUAAAAAAUUAGCAAUAUUGCAGUCGCGAUUACAGUUGCAGACUACAAUUUAAAACCAUGAUCCUUAUGUGCAUAUUUAGUAUUAGUAUGUUGACUGAAUGAUUGAAUGUGCAGAAAAGCACUGUAGUUUGGGAAAUCAGAGUUGUGGAUUGGAAUGUGAGCUAUGGAGCAGAAUUUGUGCCUAGUGCUGAAGAUGGAUACACAGUGAUAGUACAGAAGAACAGGAAAAUCUCACCAGCUGAUGAAACAGUAAUUACCAACAC